rnacentral:rRNA from 1 species
CCUACGGGUGGCUGCAGUGAGGAAUAUUGGUCAAUGGGCGGAAGCCUGAACCAGCCAAGUAGCGUGCAGGAUGACGGCCCUACGGGUUGUAAACUGCUUUUAUACGGGAAUAACGCGCCUUACGUGUAGGGCUUUGCAUGUACCGUAUGAAUAAGGACCGGCUAAUUCCGUGCCAGCAGCCGCGGUAAUACGGAAGGUCCGGGCGUUAUCCGGAUUUAUUGGGUUUAAAGGGAGCGUAGGCCGCAUGUCAAGCGUGCUGUGAAAUGUCCGGGCUCAACCCGGGCCUUGCAGCGCGAACUGGCGUGCUGGAGUCCGCGGAAGGCAGGCGGAAGUGGGGGUGUGGCGGGGAAAUGCUUAGAUAUGACGAAGAACCCCGAUUGCGAAGGCGGCUUGCGGCAGCGGAACUGACGCUGAUGCUCGAAGGCGCGGGAAUCGAACAGGAUUAGAUACCCUGUAGUC